GAUGAACGCUGGCGGCGUGCCUAAUACAUGCAAGUCGAGCGAAGCGGGGACGGGUGAGUAACACGUGGAUAACCUCCUAUAAGACUGGGAUAACUUCCGGAAAACGGAGCUAAAACGGCUACUUUUAGAUGGAUUCGCGUUGCAUUAGCUAGUUGGUAAGGUAACGGCUUACCAAGGCAACGAUGCUUAGCCGACCUGAGAGGGUGAUCGGCCACACUGGAACUGAGACACGGUCCAGACUCCUACGGGAGGCAGCAGUAGGGAAUCUUCCGCAAUGGGCGAAAGCCUGACGGAGCAACGCCGCGUGUGUGAUGAAGGUCUUCGGAUCGUAAAGCACUGUUAUUGGGGAGGCGGUACCUGCUCAGAAAGCCACGGCUAACUACGUGCCAGCAGCCGCGGUAAUAC
rnacentral:rRNA from 1 species